UGGCCACUUCAUCCGUUGAGAGAAUAUUUUCAGCAAUGAAGAUAAUCAAGACAGAUUUGCGCAACAAACUAUCAGAUGAUUGGCUAAAUGAUUUGAUGGUGUGCUACUGCGAGAAAGAGAUAUUUAGAAGCAUUCCUGAUGACCAAAUCAUGAUACAAUUCCAGAAAAUGAGGGAUCGGAAAGGACAUUUGCCACAUGAGUUUCAUGUGAUUUCUUAGAGAUGGCUUGUAGGAGGUGCCUUACGCAUACAUUUCUAUAUUUUGGUGUGAAGGUGUUCUAUAACUACAGUACUAGUUAGUAAGAGCAACAUUUCAUUGUCCUUUUGUUGUUACUUCUCUUGUACUUUGAUACCUUGUGUAUGAAUUGUAUUAACAUUUCUAGUAUGGUUAAACAUGUUA